UACGGAGGGAGCUAGCGUUGUUCGGAUAUACUGGGCGUAAAGCGCACGUAGGCGGCGCAGCAAGUCAGGGGUGAAAUCCCAGAGCUCAACUCUGGAACUGCCUUUGAUACUGGGUAUCUGGAGUAUGGAAGAGGUGAGUGGAAUUCCGAGUGUAGAGGUGAAAUUCGUAGAUAUUCGGAGGAACACCAGUGGCGAAGGCGGCUCACUGGUCCAUUACUGACGCUGAGGUGCGAAAGCGUGGGGAGCAAACAGG
rnacentral:rRNA from 1 species